GGGAGACCGGGGCUGGUUGUAACAGGGGCAGGUUGUAACAGGGCGAAUAGUUCCACGACCAGCCACAAGAGCGUAUCAUCGUUUCAGCCAUCAAGGCACAUUAUGAUGCCUUCAGUGCGAGUGGUAACACUGUGGCAGUCGGACGAUUUCACUGGCGACAAGAAGGAAAAAUUUGUUUUUGGACGAGAUGCGUAACUACAAAAGAAAAACCGACAAAGGAAAAUAUUCUAUUGACAUGUUGGAGAAAGCAGCUGAAGUUGUAAGAGAAGGAAGAUCUGUUAGGCAUGCUGCGAAAACGUACAACAUCUGCCAUGUGACACUUGGGAGGUACAUAAAAAAGAAAAACAAACGUUUAAAUGCAGUCGAUAUUAAUUUUCGAGAGGAGUGGAAACCUUUGGCUGGUUAUUAUGGGAACAGACAGGUAUUUACACCUUUGCAAGAGAUCGCUCUUGUUUCCUACAUAAAAACAUGUUCUGACAUAUAUUUUGGACUCACUCCACGUGAUGUACGUCAUCUUGCAUUCUUAUGUGGGAAGAAGUAUAAUGUUCCCAUGCCAAACACAUGGAGUGACAAAGAACUAGCAGGUGCAGAUUGGCUCUCUUCCUUUUUAAAGCGCCACCCAGACCUUUCCAUUCGGACUCCAGAGGCAACUAGUUUGGGAAGGGCUUCUAGUUUUAAUCGUGCCAACGUUUCCAAAUUUUUUGACAAACUCUCUGAAGUUUAUGAUCGCCAUUCUUUCACAGCUAAUGACAUUUGGAAUGUAGAUGAGACCGGGGUCACUACUGUCCAGAAUCCUUCAAAAAUCGUAGCAAGAAAGGGGGUAAAACAAAUUGGAGCAAUGACAUCAUCUGAACGAGGGCAGUUAGUUACUCUAACUGUAGCAGUAAAUGCUGCUGGAAAUGCUAUCCCUCCUAUGUUUAUUUUUCCUAGGGUAAGGUAUUAUGAUCACUUCAUCAGAGAUGGUCCAACUGGAUGUAUAGGUGCUGCAAAUAAGUCUGGCUGGACU